GUGCUCACUUCGACAGCACAUAUACUAAAAUUGGAACGAAACAGAGAUUAGCACAGCCCCUGCACAAGGAUGACACGCAAAUUUCUGAAGUGUUCCAUAUUUUU
ensembl:snRNA U6 U6 spliceosomal RNA